rnacentral:rRNA from 1 species
ACACAAAAAUGCACAUACUGUGAGCUCGAUGAGUAGGGGGGGACACGUGGUAUCCUGUCUGAAUAUGGGGGGACCAUCCUCCAAGGCUAAAUACUCCUGACUGACCGAUAGUGAACCAGUACCGUGAGGGAAAGGCGAAAAGAACCCCGGCGAGGGGAGUGAAAAAGAACCUGAAACCGUGUACGUACAAGCAGUGGGAGCCUCUUUUAUGGGGUGACUGCGUACCUUUUGUAUAAUGGGUCAGCGACUUAUAUUCUGUAGCAAGGUUAACCGAAUAGGGGAGCCGAAGGGAAACCGAGUCUUAACUGGGCGUUAAGUUGCAGGGUAUAGACCCGAAACCCGGUGAUCUAGCCAUGGGCAGGUUGAAGGUUGGGUAACACUAACUGGAGGACCGAACCGACUAAUGUUGAAAAAUUAGCGGAUGACUUGUGGCUGGGGGUGAAAGGCCAAUCAAACCGGGAGAUAGCUGGUUCUCCCCGAAAGCU